rnacentral:rRNA from 1 species
AUUGAACGCUGGCGGCAGGCCUAACACAUGCAAGUCGAACGGUAACAGGAAGCAGCUUGCUGCUUCGCUGACGAGUGGCGGACGGGUGAGUAAUGUCUGGGAAACUGCCUGCUGGAGGGGGAUAACUACUGGAAACGGUAGCUAAUACCGCAUAACGUCGCAGGACCAAAGAGGGGGACCUUCGGGCCUCUUGCCAUCGGAUGUGCCCAGAUGGGAUUAGCUAGUAGGUGGGGUAACGGCUCACCUAGGCGACGAUCCCUAGCUGGUCUGAGAGGAUGACCAGCCACACUGGAACUGAGACACGGUCCAGACUCCUACGGGAGGCAGCAGUGGGGAAUAUUGCACAAUGGGCGCAAGCCUGAUGCAGCCAUGCCGCGUGUAUGAAGAAGGCCUUCGGGUUGUAAAGUACUUUCAGCGGGGAGGAAGGGAGUAAAGUUAAUACCUUUGCUCAUUGACGUUACCCGCAGAAGAAGCACCGGCUAACUCCGUGCCAGCCGCCGCAGUAA